rnacentral:lncRNA from 10 species
CAGGGGAUGCCCUGGGAUUGGAAGGUCCUGCACUGGGCCUGACAGAGGAAUGAGCAAGGCAAAGACCCUGGCUAGAGAAACUCACAGACUAUAAACAGGCCUGGAAACAGAAAAUUACAGCAGAGAAUGGGAACAAGAAGCAUACACCAGGAACAUAGGAAGACUGACUGAUACAUUUGUGAUGGUUUCUCGUAUGUGUUAGCUUGACUGGGCCAAGGGGUGCCCAGAUGAGAUGUUAUUUCUGGGCGUGUCUGUGAGGGUGUUUCCAGAUGAGAUUAGCCUCUGAGUUAGUGGACUCGGUAAAGUAGAUUGAGCUCCCGAAUGUAGGUGGGCAUCAUCCAAACUGUUGCAGGCCUGAUUAGAACAAAGAGGAGGGAAGGAGAGGAUUUGUCUCCUUCCUGCCUGCCUGCUGCUUGAGCUGGGACAUCGGUCUUCUCCUGCCCUUGGACUGGCAUUUAUACCAGCAGUUCCCCUGGUUCUCAGGCACUUGGGGUUGGGCUGGAAACAAUAUCACUGGCUCUCCUGGACCUCCAGCUUGCAAGGGCAGACUGUGGAACUUUUUAGCCUCCAUAACUUCUCAGUCUCCAUAAUUGUGUGAGCCAGUUUCCUCAUUAUCUAUCUAUCUAUCUAUCUAUCUAUCUAUCUAUCUAUCUAUCUAUCAUCUAUCUAUCUAUCUAUUCAUCAAUCAAUCUGUUUAAUCUAUCUCCAGUUGGCUCUGUUUCUCUGGAGAAACCUAAGGCAUCAUCCAAAGUGAUCCAAGGAGGCUUCUUAGAAGAGGUGACAGACAAGCUGACUUUCAAAGGCGUUGGUCAGGGAUGUGAGAAAGCUGCCUGAGUUCUGUCUCACCCUGUAUGUGGAUUGACUUCCUGUAUCUGUACUACUUUUCCUCCCUCAUCAUUUAUGCCUCUACUUCCAUAAAAAGGGAUUUGGGUAGAUUCUGAUUUUUAUAAAAUGACACAUACAAUAAAAAUACAACCAUUAAGUAAGGAAAAGAAGUAAGAACUUUGUAAUACAACGGGAAAAGAGAAUGAACUACAAACCUACACUUAGAAUAGUUCCUGUGUUUGAUACAAGAUUUAACUCUGUGCUUCCCAGCAGGCAAGAAGGUAGCAUAUCUGCACACAUUGCAAUGUGGGGACGGAGGGCCCAUCCAGUGACAUCAGGAGAGCGCUUGCUCACCCACCCCCUCUCUAUUGAUUUGUUCACUGUGUUAAUGGCUCCCUUUUGUGUUUGGCUGGUCAGUGUUUUGAAUUGGUCUUUAAUUAUAUCUCAUGCAAAUGACUAAGGCAUAUGGAGAGGUUGUGGAGCCAAAAGUUUAGAAGCACCUAUUAUGUGCCACUCCUACUACUCUUCUCUGCAACAUAAAUAGAGGAAACUGAGGCUCGGAGGAGUUAAGUAAAACACUGGUCAAGUUGGCCCAGGGGCCCACAUCUCCUGACCCCAG